rnacentral:rRNA from 1 species
UUUUUUUAUGGAGAGUUUGAUCCUGGCUCAGGAUGAACGCUGGCGGCGUGCCUAAUACAUGCAAGUCGAGCGAACAGACGAGG